CCCCGCACAAGCAGCGGAGCGUGUGGUUUAAUCGUUGCUACACGAAGAACCUUACCUGGGUUUGACAUAGAGGUGGUAGGGAAGCGAAAGCGGACCGACCCUUCGGGGAGCCUCUACAGGUGUUGCAUGGCUGUCGUCAGCUCGUGUCGUGAGAUGUUGGGUUAAGUCCCGCAACGAGCGCAACCCUUGUCAUUAGUUGCCAUCAUUUGGUUGGGCACUCUAAUGAGACUGCCGGUGACAAACCGGAGGAAGGUGGGGAUGACGUCAAGUCAGCAUGACCUUUAUAUCCAGGGCUACACACACGCUACAAUGGUCUGUACAAUGGGUAGCCAAGCCGCGAGGCGGAGCCAAUCCUGAAAGCAGGCCUCAGUUCAGAUUGCAGUCUGCAACUCGACUGCAUGAAGCCGGAGUUGCUAGUAACCGCAGGUCAGCAAUACUGCGGUGAAUACGUUCCCGGGUCUU
rnacentral:rRNA from 1 species